GACGAACGCUGGCGGCGUGCUUAACGCAUGCAAGUCGAACGAUGAAGCCGGAGCUUGCUCUGGUGAAUUAGUGGCGAACGGGUGAGUAACACGUGAGUAACCUGCCCUUGACUCUGGGAUAACUGCGGGAAACUGUAGCUAAUACCGGAUACGACCCUCGGAGGCAUCUCCUGGGGGUGGAAAGAAUUUCGGUCAAGGAUGGACUCGCGGCCUAUCAGCUAGUUGGUGAGGUAAAGGCUCACCAAGGCGACCACGGGUAGCCGGCCUGAGAGGGUGACCGGCCACACUGGGACUGAGACACGGCCCAGACUCCUACGGGAGGCAGCAGUGGGGAAUUUUGGACAAUGGGGGCAACCCUGAUCCAGCCAUUCCGCGUGAGUGAAGAAGGCCUUCGGGUUGUAAAGCUCUUUCGGCAGGAACGAAACGGUGGCCCCUAAUACGGGUUACUAAUGACGGUACCUGAAGAAGAAGCACCGGCUAAC
rnacentral:rRNA from 1 species